CAGUCGCCGCGGGAAAACGUAGGUGGCAAGCGUUGUCCGGAAUUAUUGGGCGUAAAGGGCUCGCAGGCGGUUUCUUAAGUCUGAUGUGAAAGCCCCCGGCUCAACCGGGGAGGGUCAUUGGAAACUGGGAAACUUGAGUGCAGAAGAGGAGAGUGGAAUUCCACGUGUAGCGGUGAAAUGCGUAGAGAUGUGGAGGAACACCAGUGGCGAAGGCGACUCUCUGGUCUGUAACUGACGCUGAGGAGCGAAAGCGUGGGGAGCGAACAGGAUUAGAGACCCGCGUAGUCCCUGUCUCUUAUAC
rnacentral:rRNA from 1 species